GUACGUCGGUCCUGCUGAGACUGUGGCCCCCUAGUACAACCUCUGGAUGCUCUGCCAGUUUGGUUUCAAUCCGCUUGGCAGGCAGUUCUGAGAACUUACAUUAAACUUAGACCCCGCAACCUUGAACCAAGAUGCUGGGGGCCAGGACUUGUUGACCAGUUGCCCAUAAACUGUGCUUUCAGGAAUAAGGGAGGAGGGGCCAGGAUUCUAGAGUACAAGGCUCUUAGGACCACGUGUUCUUUGUUUAAAGAGCAAACCCCACUCUUCCUUAGGUCCUGGAAUCUCCUGGAUGCAGAUGGUUCCAAGCUCUGGAACGGUUUCUCCCACCUCCAUUUCGCAGGAAAAUUAAACCCCAUUGCCAAGGGCUCUGUUGGCGACGUCGAAUAAACUCACUCUGCAGGCUUCAUUUUCCCCUGGGAAAUUCAGAUCCACACCUGCCUCCCUCGGUCUUUAGGCCUGGGAGUACCUCCAGCUAUGUGAGCGUGUUCGCCUGCCUGCUUGCUCCCAGGGCAGCGUGAGGCCCCGGCGUCCACUCAUCCCCAGGCUGGCUAUCAGUUAGCCUGGAGUCAGAUUUGGGUCUUUGGUAUCUCUGUAGUAAAACUUCAAGGACGACUAAGAAAGCCAAAGGUCAGGGACUCGGCUGCACUUCCUUUGCAGCCCAGAGGGUGAGCUAGACUGGAGCGCAGAAAAGCACUGUUGAGGAGAAUGUAUUACAUGGCUUUGCUCCUUCGGUCCUCAUAAGAAAUACAUAAGGCGGGAGCUGUCACUGAGUCCACUUCACAGAGGGAACCGAACUUGCAGAGGUUAGGGAAGUUUCCCAAAGUAACAGAGAUGGCAACUGGGACGAGUGGGGUCCACAGUAAGGGCCGUCUCCAGGUCUGUGAAGUAAAGCACACCCGUUUUGCAAGACAUGGCUGGGAAGGCAGGGCACCGACGCUUCCCAGGGCUCGCUGCACGUUAGGUACGUCCACCGUCCAGCGCCCAGAGACACCACCAGAGGAGGCCUGUGGACCAGCAAAGCUAAGUGCAUUACACGUCCCUCAGGAAGGAGGACGGCACCUGACAGGGGGCUCGGAGCGGAGGUCAGGACAGGAUACUGACGGGUCUUGGGGCUCAGUGAGUCUUAAGGCGGGCCUGAGCCCAGGAGCCGUGGCCGUGGGCAGUUUUUGCCUCAUCAGCUACAGACUGGCGAACGCAGGAAGGCAGGGGCAUGAGAUGGGCCUUGGUGAGCUGGCUCAGUUUUGAUAAAUAAGCUACUUAGUUGGUUCAGAGUCUUAUCUUUCAGGAGCAGAACUUCCCUGGAGCGGGCAGGGCAACAGCUGUGGAACGCCUAGAAGACAGUGGAUGGUUUGGGCCACCAGGGGGCGCGCUAGACCAGCGAAUUGACACAACGUUUGCGGUCCGCUGAGACCCCCACAGCGCUCUGGGAGGGGACAUCUGAGGUGUGUCUUUCAAAAUGAGAAGGAAGAUGCCAGCCCAACAAUGGGAGGAGAGCAGACGUUGAAGCACUGCAUUCUGAAGUGGACCGUGAUAAGUGUCUUGGUCACCAGUUUGAAGUGUCAUCACUUCAUAAGGGAACCCUCACCCAGGAAUAUCUAGGAGGAAAACCCCCCUCUUAAAGGUGUUGCCAUUUCUCACCCUGACCCCUGUCCUAGGCCAACAGCAAACAACAGCCAACCAGCAUUCAACCUUCAGACUGAGCAUGGAAGCACUCCAGUGGCCCCGAUGGCUCAGGCUAUGUGCAGAGGACUGGCUGGGCCAGCCUGGAGGGAAGCCAUCUAUGUGACAAACUUCCUCAGGGAAAAGGAGGGCAGGUUCACGGGUCUGAUCCGUGCACUACACACACAUACAGGCACACAAACACAAAUACACACACUCUUCACUCUAUGAGUCAUUAUGGGAGAAAAGGAAGCCUUUGAAAUUUGUAAAACAG
rnacentral:lncRNA from 1 species